rnacentral:tRNA from 1 species
GGGGAUGUAGCUCAGUGGUAGAGCACUUGCUUAGCAUGCUCAAGGACCUGGUUCCAUCUCCA